GUGGCCGCCGACAUUGUUGCUGGAUUUUGGAUUUUGGGGUCGAGUUGCGCGGAAAAUUGGGGGAAAAACGAAACACCAACAGGCACAGGCGAGCGCUGCGACCACAAAAAAGCGGGCAAAAUCAAAAGCGACCGCGGAAAACGGGCCAUUUUUUGCUGCUUCUGUGUUUCUGAGUCGUAAAAGUGGACGUUUUGUGAUUUUGUGAUAUUUAGUGAAUUGUGCAAACGUAUUCGAAGGAAAAUACGCCGAAACUUCAAUUAAACGCUGCAAUGAAAAUGUAGAAAAAGCGAAGCGCGCACAGCACGAACGAACGCGAAGAAUGAAAUGAAGAAGCGGACGAAAAAGACCGCGGCGUGCGCGACAGAGAUGGCGCCAUUUCCAGCGAAGGACUACCCAUUUAAAUACAAAUAGAGCUAUCCAUCUGUCGAGUGCCCACUGUACACACCUCCCAGAGCGGACAUUAAACCGCAAGAGCAGCUCACAAUGGAAGCGCUUUGUUGUCGUCGGCGUUAUCAAUUAAAUGUAAGCGAGCGAGGCGCAGCGCAAACGAAA